CAAUAGCGUAUAUUUAAGUUGCUGCAGUUAAAAAGCUCGUAGUUGGAUUUCGGGUGGGAAUGGCCGGUCCGCCGUUUCGGUGUGCACUUGCUACGCCCACCUUGCUGCCGGGGACGUGCUCUUGAGUUCACGUUCGGGACACGGAGUCGGCGAGGUUACUUUGAGUAAAUUAGAGUGUUCAAAGCAGGCCUACGCUCUGAAUACAUUAGCAUGGAAUAACACGAUAGGACUCUGGCCUAUCUUGUUGGUCUGUAGGACCGGAGUAAUGAUUAAGAGGGACAGUCGGGGGCAUUCGUAUUUCAUUGUCAGAGGUGAAAUUCUUGGAUUUAUGAAAGACGAACUACUGCGAAAGCAUUUGCCAAGGAUGUUUUCAUUGA
rnacentral:rRNA from 1 species